rfam:Medicago truncatula strain A17 chromosome 4, whole genome shotgun sequence.
UAAGUUACUUGGAUGAGGUCAAUGAACGACCAAGAGGUCCAUGGUCUAGGUUGGUGACCUCCAUUGCAUUUAGGAGGGGCUUGUAUCUAAGGUGUUCUCAAGUAGAACAACCUACAUUAUAAUUUGUUGUUGUGGAGGCCUGCGUGCGCGCGGCCCGCUU